AGAUAAAUUUCAUUUCGAUGUGAU
rnacentral:miRNA from 1 species